CUCACCCUCUGUCAUUUUCUCUCUCUCUCCCCCGAGUCCUCUAUUCCUCUUCUUCUUCAAACAAAAAAACGUACGGACACUCACACAACCCCCUCAAACCUGGACAGAUCGAGGGAACCAAGUACACCAUCAAGUUUGUGAGGCUGUGAGGAGUCCAGUGGUACCAUUUUCAGCUUGUAGAUGUGUUGGUGAGGUCCCAAGGAGCUUGGGAGUGCAUCGUUGGACGGAUUUGGACGUCGAAAUCACGAACUGUGACACGUAUUCCGAGGAUGAGCGUGCACAUUCGAGGCAGG